UUGUGGUUAAAAAGCUCGUAGUUGGAUCUCGGCGGACUGAGGGCGGUUUGCUUGCUAGUAUUACUGCCCUAUAGUCCGUAGUUUUGCCAGAGGUUUCGGGGUGCUCUUAAUCGAGUGUCCCGGGAUGCUGGCAGGUUUACUUUGAAAAAAUUAGAGUGCUCAAAGCAGGCUAUUACGCCUGAAUAUUCGUGCAUGGAAUAAUAGAAUAGGAAGUCGUUUCUAUUUUGUUGGUUUUCGGAAAUCGACUUAAUGAUUAAUAGGGACAGUCGGGGGCAUUUGUAUUCAAACGACAGAGGUGAAAUUCUUGGACCGUUUGAAGACAAACUACUGCGAAAGCAUUUGCCAAGAAUGUUUUCAUUAAUCAAGAGCGAAAGUUAAAGGUUCGAAGGCGAUUAGAUACCGCCCUAGUUUUAACCAUAAACGAUGCCAGCUAGCGAUCUGCGGACGUUUUUUUUGUAGACUCCGCAGGAAGCUUCCGGGAAACCAAAGCAUUUGGGUUCCAGGGGAAGUAUGGUUGCAAAGCUGAAACUUUAAAUGAAUUGACGGAAGGGCACCACCAUGAGUGGAGCCUGUGGCUUAAUUUGACUCAACACGGGAAAAACUCACCAGGCC
rnacentral:rRNA from 1 species